UGGGGGAUAUUGCACAAUGGAGGAAACUCUGAUGCAGCAACGCCGCGUGAGGGAAGAAGGUCUUCGGAUUGUAAACCUUUGUCUUUGGUGACGAAACAAAUGACGGUAGCCAAGGAGGAAGCUCCGGCUAACUACGUGCCAGCAGCCGCGGUAAUACGUAGGGAGCAAGCGUUGUCCGGAAUUACUGGGUGUAAAGGGUGCGCAGGCGGGAUUGCAAGUUGGAUGUGAAAAUUACGGGCUCAACCCGUAACCUGCAUCCAAAACUGCAGUUCUUGAGUGAAGUAGAGGUAAGCGGAAUUCCUAGUGUAGCGGUGAAAUGCGUAGAUAUUAGGAGGAACACCAGUGGCGAAGGCGGCUUACUGGGCUUUAACUGACGCUG
rnacentral:rRNA from 1 species